GAAUGCUGACAUAAGUAACGAUAAAGCGGGUGAAAAGCCCGCUCGCCGGAAGACCAAGGGUUCCUGUCCAACGUUAAUCGGGGCAGGGUGAGUCGACCCCUAAGGCGAGGCCGAAAGGCGUAGUCGAUGGGAAACGGGUUAAUAUUCCCGUACUUGGUGUUACUGCGAAGGGGGGACGGAGAAGGCUAUGUUGGCCGGGCGACGGUUGUCCCGGUUUAAGCGUGUAGGUGUGUGUUCCAGGUAAAUCCGGUUCACUUUAACACUGAGGCGUGACGACGAGGCACUACGGUGCUGAAGCAACAAAUGCCCUGCUUCCAGGAAAAGCCUCUAAGCAUCAGGUAACACGAAAUCGUACCCCAAACCGACACAGGUGGUCAGGUAGAGAAUACCAAGGCGCUUGAGAGAACUCGGGUGAAGGAACUAGGCAAAAUGGUGCCGUAACUUCGGGAGAAGGCACGCUGACACGUAGGUGAAGUGAUUUACUCAUGGAGCUGAAGUCAGUCGAAGAUACCAGCUGGCUGCAACUGUUUAUUAAAAACACAGCACUGUGCAAACACGAAAGUGGACGUAUACGGUGUGACGCCUGCCCGGUGCCGGAAGGUUAAUUGAUGGGGUCAGCGCAAGCGAAGCUCCUGAUCGAAGCCCCGGUAAACGGCGGCCGUAACUAUAACGGUCCUAAGGUAGCGAAAUUCCUUGUCGGGUAAGUUCCGACCUGCACGAAUGGCGUAAUGAUGGCCAGGCUGUCUCCACCCGAGACUCAGUGAAAUUGAACUCGCUGUGAAGAUGCAGUGUACCCGCGGCAAGACGGAAAGACCCCGUGAACCUUUACUAUAGCUUGACACUGAACAUUGAGCCUUGAUGUGUAGGAUAGGUGGGAGGCUUUGAAGUGUGGACGCCAGUCUGCAUGGAGCCGACCUUGAAAUACCACCCUUUAAUGUUUGAUGUUCUAACGUGGACCCGUAAUCCGGGUUGCGGACAGUGUCUGGUGGGUAGUUUGACUGGGGCGGUCUCCUCCUAAAGAGUAACGGAGGAGCACGAAGGUUGGCUAAUCCUGGUCGGACAUCAGGAGGUUAGUGCAAUGGCAUAAGCCAGCUUGACUGCGAGCGUGACGGCGCGAGCAGGUGCGAAAGCAGGUCAUAGUGAUCCGGUGGUUCUGAAUGGAAGGGCCAUCGCUCAACGGAUAAAAGGUACUCCGGGGAUAACAGGCUGAUACCGCCCAAGAGUUCAUAUCGACGGCGGUGUUUGGCACCUCGAUGUCGGCUCAUCACAUCCUGGGGCUGAAGUAGGUCCCAAGGGUAUGGCUGUUCGCCAUUUAAAGUGGUACGCGAGCUGGGUUUAGAACGUCGUGAGACAGUUCGGUCCCUAUCUGCCGUGGGCGCUGGAGAACUGAGGGGGGCUGCUCCUAGUACGAGAGGACCGGAGUGGACGCAUCACUGGUGUUCGGGUUGUCAUGCCAAUGGCACUGCCCGGUAGCUAAAUGCGGAAGAGAUAAGUGCUGAAAGCAUCUAAGCACGAAACUUGCCCCGAGAUGAGUUCUCCCUGAGACUUAGAGUCUCCUGAAGGAACGUUGAAGACGACGACGUUGAUAGGCCGGGUGUGUAAGCGCAGCGAUGCGUUGAGCUAACCGGUACUAAUGAACCGUGAGGCUUAACCUUACA
rnacentral:rRNA from 2 species